AUUGGAUUAUGGAUGCGCUAAUGGACGACACUGAUGACAAGGAAAGUGUAUGUUUUACCUGGCGAAUAAGAAGUUAUGGCCAAUAUGAUUGGAUUGCUUAGGCUCAUUGUAGGAGGAAAAGAAAACAAACUACAGGAUGAUUUUCAUUGAGGUUAUCUCAAACUGCCAUCGUACAUCCUCUGGGUGUCUUGAGGAGCUGGUCUUUGGAUAAUGCUGAGCAGGUCUUUCUUUCUGGUAAAGAUUAUCAUUACAGUGAAGUAAAAUAAUUUAACAGACAGAUUUACAAACAACUGACGAAAGAAGGGAGACCAUUCAAUAGUCCCUUUAUUUAUCAGGGGUUGCCACAGCAGAAGGAACUGCCAACUUAUCCAGCAUAUGUUUUACACAGCGGAUGCCCUUCCAGCUGCAACCCAGUACUGGGAAACACCCAUUUACACUCAUACACUUGAACAUGGGGAGAACAUGCAAACUCCACACAGAAAUGACCACUGGCCCAGGCGGGGCUUGAACCAGCAACCUUCUUGCUGUGAAGCGACGGUGCUAACCACUGUGCUGCCCUAUGUGCUCUAUGCGGGUGAGUGGGAUUGACAAACCACUUGGAGGGAACACUCUUGCUGUCUUAA
rnacentral:lncRNA from 1 species